AAAAAUAUUUUUGCAUUGGAUUCCCUCCUCACAUAAAAAACAAGAAGAAAAAGAAAAAUAAAAAAAUGGACUCCAACGUCUCUCUUCCACGCGUCCGACCCUCUCUCUCCUCUCUAUUCGCCACGUGUUCCUUAACGUAUCACACACUCCACUCAUAACAAAUUUCUCACCUACACAAAUCAGACGCCAUUCACUCAUUCUCUCCCAC
rnacentral:lncRNA from 1 species